rnacentral:rRNA from 1 species
UACAGAGGGCGCAAGCGUUAAUCGGAUUUACUGGGCGUAAAGCGCGCGUAGGUGGCCAAUUAAGUCAAAUGUGAAAUCCCCGAGCUUAACUUGGGAAUUGCAUUCGAUACUGGUUGGCUAGAGUAUGGGAGAGGAUGGUAGAAUUCCAGGUGUAGCGGUGAAAUGCGUAGAGAUCUGGAGGAAUACCGAUGGCGAAGGCAGCCAUCUGGCCUAAUACUGACACUGAGGUGCGAAAGCAUGGGGAGCAAACAGG